UGGGGAAUAUUGGACAAUGGGCGCAAGCCUGAUCCAGCCAUGCCGCGUGAGUGAUGAAGGCCUUAGGGUUGUAAAGCUCUUUCGCCGGUGAAGAUAAUGACGGUAACCGGAGAAGAAGCCCCGGCUAACUUCGUGCCAGCAGCCGCGGUAAUACGAAGGGGGCUAGCGUUGCUCGGAAUCACUGGGCGUAAAGCGCACGUAGGCGGAUCGUUAAGUCAGGGGUGAAAUCCUGGAGCUCAACUCCAGAACUGCCCUUGAUACUGGCGAUCUCGAGUUCGAGAGAGGUUGGUGGAACUCCGAGUGUAGAGGUGAAAUUCGUAGAUAUUCGGAAGAACACCAGUGGCGAAGGCGGCCAACUGGCUCGAUACUGACGCUGAGGUGCGAAAGCGUGGGGAGCAAAACAGGAUUAGAUACCCUGGUAGUCCACGCCGUAAAACGAUGGAUGCUAGCCGUUGGGGGGUUUACCUCUCAGUGGCGCAGCUAACGCCUUAAGCAUCCCGCCUGGGGAGUACGGUCGCAAGAUUAAAACUUAAAUAAAUUGACGGGGUCAUAGCUGUUUCCU
rnacentral:rRNA from 1 species